GUGUAGAUGAUCCGUUAAUUCUCAUUUGAACAUGAAUAAAAUAUCCAUCAAAGGAACUGGGAUUGCUUUUGCUUAUGACGUCAGAUGAAAAGGCCACCUUCAGUGGCGCUUUUCUUGUAUGGCGUAAGUGAGAACACGAUUUUGUUUGUAAGCAAUUUAAAUCGUCCUAAUGUCUUAUCAAGUCUGUGUGUGUGUGUUUUAUUUUGAGUUGCUGUGUUUAAAGACGCCCAGCAUAUUCCCGCCAGCGUUAAAUCUGUGGAAUUUUGGUAUUAUCCACUGAAUCUCGAGAGAGCUUACCUAUCCACAACCCUACCCAGGCAGAACAACAUCCAUGUGUCAUUAACAUUAAGGAAUUCUCACCAGUGACCAGAGGAGGAGGAAAGCUUAUGCUUGAUGGCUACUCCUACAUUGAUAAAUUGAAAAGCACUGUAAUAUAUUGGUUACAUUGGUGAUGUGAAAGAAACAUAAUUUGUGAGGAAUGCUUAACAAUAGAGGGAGACUUACUACAGAGAGAAGCAAGUCAUCACUCACAUCUGCCUAAUGCCAAAAGCAACCUUUCCAAGGAAACAGUACAGAAAACUAAAGAAAGCCAGGCAGUAGUGGGAAGUGACAUCGACUUAAACAGAAGAGUCCUUAUCAGAUAUUAAACCAAAGACUAAAUUAUGGUAGAGAAGUAUGAGGGUUACCUCUGAGUCAGUGGCUUGAGCCCACAAUCUUUGAAUAUUUUUGAACACUUAAUUAUAUAUUUCACACCUUGUAUAAAGUUAAGUUGAAAUGAAUGCAAUACCUUUUAUAUUGUAGUUACGUGCAAUAAAGAUUGGUCGCAUAGA